rnacentral:rRNA from 1 species
GCGAAGGUAGCGCAAUCACUUGUCUUUUAAAUGAAGACCUGUAUGAAUGGCACGACGAGGGCUUAACUGUCUCCUUUUUCCAGUCAAUGAAAUUGAUCUUCCCGUGCAGAAGCGGGAAUAAUAUCAUAAGACGAGAAGACCCUGUGGAGCUUUAGACACUAAAUCAGCCCUUGUCCAAAAUCCUAAUUAAAGGAAUGAACACUAGAGUGAGACCUGAUUCAAUGUCUUCGGUUGGGGCGACCUUGGGGAAAGAAAAAUCCCCCAUGCGGAACAGAAAUACUGUAUUUCCAAAACUAAAAGAGACCACUCAAAGUAUCAAAAAUUUUGACCAACUAUAUGAUCCGGCUUAACGCCGAUCAACGGACCGAGUUACCCCA